rnacentral:rRNA from 1 species
UUCUGGCUCAGGAUGAACGCUAGCGGCAGGCCUAAUACAUGCAAGUCGUACGGUAAAGUCCCCUUCGGGGGAUUGAGAGUGGCGGACGGGUGCGUAACGCGUAUGCAACCCACCCCCGACGGGCGGAUAGCCGGUGGAAACGCCGGAUAACCCGCCAUGCGGCCCCACAGGGGCAUCCCUGUGGAGUCAAAGCGGCGACGCGGUCGGGGACGGGCAUGCGUCCCAUUAGAUGGUUGGCGGUGCAAUGGACCACCAAGUCUACGAUGGGUAGGGGAUCUGAGAGGACGGUCCCCCACACUGGUACUGAGACACGGACCAGACUCCUGCGGGAGGCAGCAGUAAGGGAUAUUGGGCAAUGGGGGGCAACCCUGACCCAGCCAUGCCCGCGUGAGGGAAUGAGGCCCUACGGGUCGUGAACCUCUUUUGUCCGGGGACAAGGCAUCCCACGCGAUGGGAUGUUGAGGGUACCGGGAGAAUAAGCGUCGGCUAACUCCGUGCCAGCCGCGGC